rnacentral:rRNA from 1 species
UACAGAGGGUGCAAGCGUUAAUCGGAAUUACUGGGCGUAAAGCGCACGUAGGUGGCUUGAUAAGUUGGGUGUGAAAUCCCCGAGCUUAACUUGGGAAUUGCAUUCAAGACUGUCUUGCUAGAGUGUGGAAGAGGGAAGCGGAAUUCCAGGUGUAGCGGUGAAAUGCGCAGAUAUCAGGAGGAACACCGGUGGCGAAGGCGGGUCUCUGGGCCGUAACUGACGCUGAGGAGCGAAAGCAUGGGGAGCGAACAGG